ensembl:snRNA U6 U6 spliceosomal RNA
GUGUUCGCUUCCGGAGCACAUAUACUAAAAUUCACAAUACAGAGAGUAUUAGCAUGGCCCCUGUACUAUCUGAGAUGAAAUUUGUGAAGAGUUGAAAAAAAAA